rnacentral:RNase_P_RNA from 1 species
AGACAAAUGCUGCAUACUUAGUUAUGUUGAGGAAAGUCCUUGCUCGCACAGCCUGAGAUGGUUGUAGUGAUUGUGCUUAGGGAAAAAAUAACCUAAGGUAGCGAAUGCUAACGGCUCUUAAAGGACCUUAAAUGGUCUUAUUAGGUAUAAAAGUGCCAAAGUGACGAAGAAAAGGGAAACCUUGGAAGUGGAACGUGGUAAACCCCGCAAGCGAGAAACCCAAAAUAUGGUAGGGGAGCUGUAACUAGGAACUAAACGAUGUUACGGACCAGUGAUGGUAGAUAAAUAUUUGUCGCCCGUAAGGGUACAGAACAAGGCUUAUU